AUUGAACGCUGGCGGCAGGCCUAAAACAUGCAAGUCGAAAGAGUGGGGGACGGGUGAGUAAUGUCUGGGAAACUGACUGAUGGAGGGGGAUAACUACUGGAAACGGUAGCUAAUACCGCAUACACACGGCUGUGCCCAGAUGGGAUUAGCUUGUGGGUGGGGGAACGGCUGAACAAGGCGACGAUCCCUAGCUGGUCUGAGAGGAUGAAAAGCCACACUGGAACUGAGACACGGUCCAGCCUCCUACGGGAGGCAGCAGUGGGGAAUAGUGGACAAUGGGCGAAAGCCUGAUGCAGCCAUGCCGCGUGUGUGAAGAAGGCCUUCGGGUUGUAAAGUACUUUCAGCGGGGAGGCGUUACCCACAGAAUAAGCACCGGCUAACUCCGUGCCAGCAGCCGCGGUAAUUC
rnacentral:rRNA from 1 species